rnacentral:lncRNA from 10 species
CCCUCAGGCGGCCUGUUCCACGCCAGGAUUAGUUUUGCUUCGCAGAUGGGCCGUGGUGGUGAGAGGAAGCAAUCAGUAUGGAAAUGGAGAAAUGGCUUACCAUGCAUGUCCUUCUCCCCAGGAGGGAGGUCGUGGUGCAGGCGAGCAGACGCCAGACUCCUGGACACUUGCCGCCUGCGUUAUGGAGGCUUAGCUAAUAACCUUGCAGGGGUCUUCAGGCUUUUCCACUGGCUCACCUUUAGGCUUCUGACACUUUUACCUACGAUUGAAAAAAGACGAGAUUCCAUGAGACUAGAAAUGUAGGAGCAUCUCAGACCUUCACAGAACGCUCUGUUAGAAGAUGAGAAACAUAACGUUGCUUGUGAGAGGUGAAGCCAGCUGGACUUCCUGGGUCGAGUGGGGACUUGGAGAACUUUUCUGUCUAGCUAAAGGAUUAUAAGUGCACCAAUCAGCACUCUGUAAAAACACACCAGUCAGCGCUCUGUGUCUAGCUAAAGGAUUGUAAAUGCACCAAUCAGCACUCUGUAAAAUGGACCAAUCAGUACCCUGUAAAAUGGACCAAUCAGCAGGACGUGGGCAGGGACAAAUAAGGGAAUAACAGCUGGCGCCCCUAGCCAGCAGUGGCAACCCACUCGGAUCACCUUCCAUGCUGUGGAAGCUUUGUUAUUUCACUUUUCACAAUAAAUCUUAGGGUUGCUUACUUUUUGGGUCCAUGCCACCUUGAAGAGCUGUAACACUCACCACGAAGGUCUGAGGCUUCAUUCUUGAAGUCAGACUAAGAACCCACCGGAAGGAACCAAUUCCAGACACACGUGUAGUAGCAAAUUAUCAAAAAUGUUCAUUGCCUUUUCUGAAAAACAAUUUUCCCAGAAACACCUGGCAGAAUCAGAGUUCAUUGUGUCAAAAGAAAAACUUUGGACAAAUUAAAAUGAGCAAAGAACAAUUUGUGAAAUGUGCCCCUCUCCCAACCAGAACAGGUUCAAAGAGACUCCAGUGCUGCCACAUGAUCAAAGAAUUAUGGACAAAAAAAGCAAAUAAAUUACAGGAAAAGAAAAUGAGAUAAUGCAGUAGUUACUUUUUGAAGGACGACCGAAGCAGGAUAUUUCCCUGACCCCUUCAUGGGACCCACGUCAGAGGUGUUUACUCAGCCUGCUGCCCACAACUCCUCACAGGAGGGAGCGCACAAGUGAACGAGGGUGAGGACUGGAGAGCACCAGCACUGGAACAACCCGGCCACUUCGGCGCUACUGGGAUCAAACUCCAUCACUUGGACACACUGUGUUCCACCCCUCGUGGGAGGGAGCAUGCAGGAAAGGUGACUGGCC